rnacentral:rRNA from 1 species
UACGAAGGGGGCUAGCGUCGCUCGGAAUUACUGGGCGUAAAGGGCGCGUAGGCGGAUGUCUAAGUUGGGGGUGAAAUCCCGGGGCUCAACCUCGGAACCGCCUUCAAUACUGGAUAUCUUGAGUUCGGGAGAGGUGAGUGGAAUGCCGAGUGUAGAGGUGAAAUUCGUAGAUAUUCGGCGGAACACCAGUGGCGAAGGCGACUCACUGGCCCGAUACUGACGCUGAGGCGCGAAAGCGUGGGGAGCAAACAGG